GAUGAACGCUAGCGGCAGGCCUAAUACAUGCAAGUCGGACGGGAUUGGGGAGCUUGCUUCCCAUGAGAGUGGCGCACGGGUGCGUAACACGUAUGUAACCUACCUUUAUCUGGGGAUAGCCUCUCGAAAGAGAGAUUAAUACCGCAUAAAAUCACAAUGCAGCAUUGCAAAAUAGAUACAAAUAAUUUAUAGGAUAAAGAUGGGCAUGCGGAACAUUAGCUAGAUGGUGAGGUAACGG
rnacentral:rRNA from 1 species